CCUACGGGAGGCAGCAGUAAGGAAUAUUGGUCAAUGGAGGCAACUCUGAACCAGCCAUGCCGCGUGCAGGAAGACUGCCCUAUGGGUUGUAAACUGCUUUUAUCCGGGAAUAAACCUACUUACGUGUAAGUAGCUGAAUGUACCGGAAGAAUAAGGAUCGGCUAACUCCGUGCCAGCAGCCGCGGUAAUACGGAGGAUCCAAGCGUUAUCCGGAUUUAUUGGGUUUAAAGGGUGCGUAGGCGGCCUGUUAAGUCAGGGGUGAAAGACGGUAGCUCAACUAUCGCAGUGCCCUUGAUACUGAUGGGCUUGAAUGGACUAGAGGUAGGCGGAAUGAGACAAGUAGCGGUGAAAUGCAUAGAUAUGUCUCAGAACACCGAUUGCGAAGGCAGCUUACUAUGGUCUUAUUGACGCUGAGGCACGAAAGCGUGGGGAUCAAACAGGAUUAGAUACCCUGGUAGUCCACGCCCUAAACGAUGAACACUCGCUGUUGGCGAUACACAGUCAGCGGCUAAGCGAAAGCGUUAAAGUGUUCCACCUGGGGAGUACGCCGCAGGGUUGAAACGUUAAAGGAAUUGACGG
rnacentral:rRNA from 1 species